rfam:Shinella sp. 65-6 SCNpilot_expt_1000_bf_scaffold_3265, whole genome shotgun sequence.
GAUCCCGGAGGUCAACACCCGACAGCGCGAUGCGCCCUCGGGUGCUUUUUGG